rnacentral:rRNA from 1 species
UACGUAGGGGGCAAGCGUUGUCCGGAUUUAUUGGGCGUAAAGAGCGUGUCGGCGGUUUGGUAGGUCCGCUGUGAAAACUCGAGGCUCAACCUCGAGACGCCGGUGGAAACCAUCAGGCUAGAGUCCGGAAGAGGAGAGUGGAAUUCCUGGUGUAGCGGUGAAAUGCGCAGAUAUCAGGAAGAACACCCGUGGCUAAGGCGGCUCUCUAGUACGGUACUGACGCUGAGACGCGAAAGCGUGGGGAGCGAACAGG